CUGCGCUCGGCCCGACGCCAGAAAUGCCAACGCCUGGCCACCAGCAGAUCCACGCCGCCACCCUGCGCUGAGGACGCCGGAGGCCAUGGGCGGGCUGCCUGUCUGCGGAAGUGGACAAGCUUGCAUUCUAUGGAAGUGAGAUAACCUUUCAAGAAGACAGCUGAGAGAGCACAGCUCUGGUUUGCUCCUGGCUCCACGUUCUCUCUUAUUUGUAUUCAAUAAUUUAUGCCAGAAAAUGGGGUGGGGAGAGCCCUGCGUUUGCCACGUUCCGUGAUGUUAAUACUCCCACCAUGGCUGAUUUCAAGCUACCGACAUUUUAACAACUGGCUAUCUUAUCUCCUUUCCCAUCUUCUCAAACAUAUACACAAUUGGAAGCUCCCUAAGAUUAAUCAAUUUAUAUCUCCUAGGCACAUGAUUUCUAUACUGGAAAUGCACCCUGUGAAAGGGUGGUGGAGUAUCUGACCACAACCUGGGAUGAAAGAUGCUCAGAUUCUCUGAGAGGAGACCCUGGGAAGACUGGAAACGGCGUGCUAGCCAGCCAUGGACAUGGACGUACAGAGGAAAGACUCAGAGGGGGGUGCGGAGAUGGAAGUCAAGAUGCCAUCCGUCCACAGAGCAAGGCACCAAGUUUCAAUAAGUUCUCGGGUCUAGUUAGCCCUUUCCUUCUCAUUAGAAGCCCAGGUGGUGCAAACAUAUUUGAAAUAAUCCAAGGAAGGAACCACAAAACUGAAGACUGAGUUACUGUGGGAUCCAGAAGGACUGGGGAUGGUGCUUGUUGAGGCCCUGGACAAUGUGCCAUGACCCUGGGGGAUCUAUCUGUUCAGCUACAUGAGUGCAGGGCCAUAUGCAAGGAGGGUUUGAGCAGUACAGGGAAGUUUGGCCUUUGUGGGCAGGUACGACUUGAUGCUUAUGGAAUGCCAUUUCUAAAGGUUCACUGCAUUGCUAUUCACAUCACACUCUCUUCAUAAAAUGAGCCAGGGAAAAAGAGAGAGAAAGAAUUCACACCCUAUUGCAGAUAUAGAUAAAGCAAAAGGCAAUAUUUACUAUGCACCAGGCACUGUUCUACUUUUCACACAUUGACAGUUAAUCUUCAGGACUGUUCUAUGUAUGAGUUGGGUGCCGUGAUUAAGCCCAUUUUACAAAUGAGGAAACUGAGGCACAGGCUGCUUUCGUAACUUGCCCAAGUUUACACGCUAAUAAGUGGCAGACUGAGAUUGAAGCCUGGCAGUAUGGCUCAGAGUAUGGGCUCCACCAUGGAGAGGGUCUCUCCUCUUAAUCACUGAGCCCUGGCCAUCGGGCGUCCUGGGUGUGUACACAUUUUCUUUUUGACUGUGACCCUGAGUGUGGCUCAUCAAGAGUCCUGAGAAGCCCGUUCCUGACUUGUGGUGGGGUCUUGCGGGGCCGAGGUACGGUUUGGUUUGGGCUUCUGGGCACUGGCUCUGCUUUUUCCUCCCAGAAGAGAAAGGAGCCUUGCCAACACCAAGUUUACACAAGAACCAGGAGGAGGAAUAUCUGUGAUAGUCCCUUAAACGAAAGUAAACAGAUUGCUAGUGUGAGUUCUUCGUGAUGAGGCUUAAAUAGAGGUUUCCAGGUCAGUCCAGGCUCUGGCAGACCAUGUCCUUGCAAGCAGAGUGUCCUACGCCGGAUUCUGGGUCAAAGGGAUGCUCUACUGAUGUACUGCUUCUGCUCCUACCUGCAUGGCCUCUCUCUUCUGGAAAACAUUAAAAUAUGAACUUGGCCAAUGAAGUUGAAGACUUUAUCUAAACUUACAUACCCCACCUGGAACACUGAAGUCAUAAUAAGUAUUUGCUGAUGAACGAAGGGAUGAACUAAUGAACAAAUGGUGGUUUCCCUCUUCUACCUGGUACUGUUGGGGAGACUCACUGCCAGUGACUCCUACCGGAGAGAGAUUCUCCUCCUGGACUACAGAUCCCCUUGCUACAGGCCCCUGGCUUUGCUCAGGUUGCUGCCCUUGAGACACUGGCUCCUCGAGACUUUAUCCUGUGACUUUGUCCCCACCAUGUCCUAUGUCCUGCAUGUGUGGGGCAGAAACAUCAGAGGGCUAUCAUGUGGCUAAGCCUCAAGGUUUUUCUCAUGUUUGAGUCAGGAGGAAGCAAGGCGUGAGGUUCUUCAUCCGCAGCCCCAUAAUCACACGCUCUCCCUCCAGCAAAGGAAAAGAACGCAGCCUCUCCCUCCUUUCAUCCUGCCAGUGCUUCAUUCAGGAAGGUCAGAUUUGACAUAAUUCAGACUCACGUCCGAGGAUUUAUUUUAUCAUGUGAGUCACAUUUAAACCCAAAACAGUAAUUUCCCCCCGUUUUCUAUAAAAAAUACUUUCAAUUUUUAA